GACGAACGCCGGCGGCGUGCUUAACACAUGCAAGUCGAACGGAAAGGCCCUGCUUUUGUGGGGUGCUCGAGUGGCGAACGGGUGAGUAACACGUGAGUAACCUGCCCUUGACUUUGGGAUAACUUCAGGAAACUGGGGCUAAUACCGGAUAGGAGCUCCUGCUGCAUGGUGGGGGUUGGAAAGUUUCGGCGGUUGGGGAUAGACUCGCGGCUUAUCAGCUUGUUGGUGGGGUAGUGGCUUACCAAGGCUUUGACGGGUAGCCGGCCUGAGAGGGUGACCGGCCACAUUGGGACUGAGAUACGGCCCAGACUCCUACGGGAGGCAGCAGUGGGGAAUAUUGCACAAUGGGCGGAAGCCUGAUGCAGCAACGCCGCGUGCGGGAUGACGGCCUUCGGGUUGUAAACCGCUUUCGCCUGUGACGAAGCGUGAGUGACGGUAAUGGGUAAAGAAGCACCGGCUAACUACGUG
rnacentral:rRNA from 1 species